ensembl:snRNA U2 U2 spliceosomal RNA
AUUGCUUUUGGGGCUGUUGGCUAAAAUCAAGUGUAGUGUCUGUUCUUAUCAGUUUAAAAUUAUAAUGCAUAUAUAUCCAAUGCUAUUAUAUACUCCCU